CUCUGCUUACUUGCCAUCGAAUUUAAAUCCGGCAACAGAAAAUUUGAAAUUAAUUGGGACCCCGGAUACGUUGCUACUGUUUAAAACUAAACUGAGUGUCACAUUUUCAUCGUCGUUUGAACAAAGCGGACGCUGAAUUUUUCUCAGAUAAAAGGACUUCAACCCGAAUCUGAACAUAAUAUUCGAAUUUGAAGACAUGGACUCAAUCUUUAAUAAAAUUAGAAUUAAUGAUGUGGAAGGAUUGAAAAUCUUAAUUGAGGAGAAGCCAGGCGAAGUAAGUUGUUCUGUUUAUUGCUUUCUCAAAUUUGCCUAUUUCUUUAUUAUUUUAUACACAAUUUGAAAACUUCAAACUAACUGCAUAUAUUUCUCCAUAAUAUUUCAUUUCUUUCUUCUUCUCUUUCCUCCAAUUGCCAUUAAUGUUAUAAUAAAAUUCUUGACCAAGGCAGCGAGUUGGCAGAAGCGUUACCACGCCAGGUGAAAUGUUUAGCAGUAUUUCGUCUGUGUUUACGUUCUCAGAUCAAAUUCCGCCGAGGUCGAGUUUUCUUGUCCUCCUUUCUAGGUCGAAAUAUUAAGUACUAGUUGCCUACUGCGGUCGGUCUAAUUCACUGCCCCCUCCCCCAAAAUGUCAGGCCUUGUGCCUUAAGAAGAAAAUAAUAUUAUUCUGGACCAAAUUUUGAGCAUGGCAAAGUAGAUGGAAUGUGAAUGAGAGAGAAACCCAUCAUCAAACACUGCAAGGGAGUAUUCUGAUAUGAAAUUUUCAGAUGAGAUGAGAAACAGAUGGAGUCCGUAGAUGAAUGGUGACUUUUAAAGAUGUCCUCUUGCCAUACGCAGUCGAAGGUUUUACUGAUGUCAAGGGUUACACCAUUUUAUGCAGAUUUUGUCAAACAUAUGAAAACACUGUUGUGUCACACAGGUACCAAGCCCCUCUUGAUCUGGCUUUAUAAAAUUGUACUGGUGUUCAUUGAAUAAUGAAAGAUACCUAAAGGGACAAAUAUGAUGGUUGUUUGUGACUUUUACUUCAUAAUUGAAACAUUGGAAGUUAGAAUGACUGGAUGGUAGUCACUCGAUAAGAUAUUGUCUGCAGGAAUAUUGAGCAGGAUUUCCCAGUGAGGUCAGUACUACCCAUGUGUCGGGGCGCUGUGGGAAAAUAUUAUAUGAGGUUAUGUAUAUAUGAAACACAAAGAAUGUGUACCCGCGUUUAACUGAAGCUAUGUAUCAACGGUUGGAUCAGUAAAGAAAACUAAGUGGUGAAGCAUCAAGUAUUCACUUAUUCUGGUGAAGGUUCUGUGGUAAGUAGUCACCCAUGUCAAGACUAGGAUCGAGAGGGAAAUUAAUCUGAUCUGGUAUUAAUUGAAACGAGAUUAAAAAUGUGUUAUAUAGAGUCGUAGCAAGG